UGAGCCUGGGGAGGGCUUUCUUUCUCCAUGAUACCUCUGCUCUUUUGUUCUCCUCUGUUGUUCCACCAGGGUCAGAGCACGCAAGAGAGCCACGUAAUUGCAGAGAGGAUCUGGAGGAGCUGCAGCCACUUUAGAUGAGUGAUUUGUCCUCACAAGGAAGGAGUUACUGCUGUUGUUUGCAGACACAAUGUGUUCUUCAGAUGCCCUUGAACUCCACUGCUGUGCCCUGCCUUGAAAAUAAACAUCAGAUAACCCUCUUCCCCACACAGCUACGUGGAGCAGAGGUAGGCUUUCAAAGGACAAACUGGAAAAACAGACAGGGAAAGACAAGAAACACCUCCCAGGUAUCUGCAUGACUGUAUCAUGACUGUAUCAUACCUUCUUUGUCCGUCACAGCACUUGAAGCAUGUCUCAGCCUUGUGCAAAGCUCACAUUGGACCAGCUCUGCUCUUUAGGUUUCACUGCAGUAUGAGGACUCGGUGUGGACAGAGGCAUGUCUUGUACUGUCCAGGUCCUGGUUGUGGCACCUGCUGUCUUGCAGGGAUGGUUCAGCAGGGAUGAUGAGGAUGAGGUGGGUGGAAAGAGGAAAGAAGCUGUAUGCAUAGCAAGCCAGUUGCUGCUGCAGUCAUCAGAGAGCUUUUCCAUCCCUGUCUAGCCAAGACAUCCUGGGAAUGCAUCCCCAGGCAGAGACAGCCCUGCAGGCAGCAUCUGCCCUGAGUGCACAUGCAGGCAGCAGUUCCCAGCUGCUGCCUUGGAAGAACUGCAGAGUUCCUGAUGCUGGCCUGGUAACAGUGGCCUGGUGGAGACUGGCUUUGACACAGCUGUCACCUGGCCUUGAGCCCUCAAAGAAUUUCCUCUUCUCUGACAUUGCCAAGCCACUUUUACCUUCCCACCAACCCCACCCUGCAUUCUGGGCAUCCCUUUCUCCUGCCUCCCUGCUUCCCAGCCCAU